GACAGUAUAUUUGUUUAUUAUAUAUAUUAUAUUCCAUGUGUUGUUGUUUGUGUCACACUGCUUUGCUUUAUCUUGUCCAGGUUCCAGUUGUAAAUGAGAACUUGUUCUCAACUGACCUCCCUGGUGAAAUAAAGGUGUUCUCAACUAGCCUACCUGGUUAAAUAAAGGUGUUCUCAACUGGCCUACCUGGUUAAAUAAAGGUGUUCUCAACUGGCCUACCUGGUUAAAUAAAGGUGUUCUCAACUAGCCUACCUGGUUAAAUAAAGGUGUUCUCAACUGGCCUACCUGGUUAAAUAAAGGUGUUCUCAACUGGCCUACCUGGUUAAAUAAAGGUGUUCUCAACUAGC
ensembl:lncRNA